GCGCCAUUAGCUCAGUUGGUAGAGCAGCUGACUCUUAAUCAGCGGGUCCCGGGUUCGAGUCCCUGAUGGCGCA
rfam:Anaerotruncus colihominis DSM 17241 Scfld_02_5 genomic scaffold, whole genome shotgun sequence.